rnacentral:tRNA from 1 species
AGGUGACUAGCUCAAUUGGUAGAGCAGCGGUCUCCAAAACCGCAGGCUGGGGGUUCGAGCCCCUCGUCACCUG